UACAGAGGGUGCGAGCGUUGUCCGGAAUCACUGGGCGUAAAGGGCGCGUAGGCGGCUUGAUAAGCGUGCGGUGAAAGCCCGGGGCUCAACCCCGGGUCGGUCGUGCGAACUGUCGAGCUGGAGCACUGUAGAGGCAGGUGGAAUUCCGGGUGUAGCGGUGGAAUGCGUAGAGAUCCGGAAGAACACCGGUGGCGAAGGCGGCCUGCUGGGCAGUGGCUCGCAAGGGCCAAUAGCCGACACUGAGGCGCGACAGCGUGGGGAGCAAACAGG
rnacentral:rRNA from 1 species